CUUUAGUCCCGCCCCUUUAGUCCCGGUUGGUGAACCGGGACUAAAGCCCCUUACGGGCUGGGACUAAAGGCCCUGUCCCCACUAGUGUUAGUUCCAUGCGUUGCCUAAUUAUAGUCAUAUUUUCAUACCUAGUCUUAGAAAUCACUAAUCAAACUUAUCAUGGGUCAAAAACAUUGUCUAACAAUAGAAAAAGAGGUAGGACAAUAUCAAUAAUCAUAAACAGAUUUUAGAAUCAUGUGGGGCUCUCGAACCAAAGCAUCAGCACACAUGCUCCUCCACGCACGUCCAAUCCUGAUUCCCUCAUCCAUCGCGAGGCAUGGAGGCAGUAGAGGAAGAUGGAUAUGCAUAGCAUGAGGAAUAUGGCUUACUAUAUCAAUGAUACACAUGUGUGGUAGGUGGUCCGAUUUUUGUAUCUGCGUCAGCGACUUUAAAAAUAGCAAGGAGGUUCAUAAACUACAUUGCUAUAAAGAUAUAAUCACCUCUCUUCGAUAUGUUCACGCUAGAUCUAUCCGGCAUCAAACUCAACCCCAUAUACCCACCCGUUCUAACGUUGCGACUGUUAACAUCACCUCUCGUGCCUGCCGGUCUGCAAGGAACGUAAACAGAUUAUGUUUUUCGCUUUGGAAAUUUUUAUGUUUGGGUCCUGCAAUUUGAUAUUUGGUCUCUAAUGAGCAAGUAUAGACUAGGGGUAUCUUUAGUGGGAUUUUUAUUAUGAGCGUUCCUUAGUUCCUGACCUACAUAUUUAUAUAUGUAUUUCCGGGAAAGAAAAAAUAUGCAUUAGUUAGAUGGGCCGGUAGAAUUUCAAAGUGCUCUACAAUCCAAUUGUGUUACCCAAUUCACAAAUGUGUGACAUAUAUACUUGGACAAUGUGUACUAGAACACCUCUUCUAAUUUCGUUUGAAUCUGGAUUAGUCAUUUUUGAGCACACCACGGUUUGUUAAGACUACUCUCUGUUUUGUAACACGCCGAAACUGUGUGAUUUUCAUCACGUUGAUCGAUUAGUUUUAUGAUCAUCCAGUUAUCCAAUUGCAUAUCUGCAUCUUGCAAGAACUAAUGGUGCUAUAUUUUCUAUAUACAUGGUGCUACUGUUUGUUUGUUUGUACCAAAUGCUAAUACACUAUUGGAGAUAGACAUGUUAGACUUUGCAUCACUUCAACUGAUAUGAUAAAUUAUUACUAAACAAAAUGGUUUUGUCUCUAAACAAAAUCGAAUGGAACAGACGUACAGUUAUAUUGUUUGUUUAUUUGACAUACAUAAAGCUUUGAUAACUUGGUGUCAGCCUUCGUCGUUAGUUUUGAAUAACAAUGCUCCAUCUAUCAAUGGGGUGUUACUAUUGACACAAUCAAAGCGAAAGUUAUACAUGAUAUGCUUAUGAGUGCACUGUAGAUGCAUAAAUUUGGAUGUGUUGUCUUUUUAAUUAAUGGCUCAUUAACUAACUCAGUAUUAGCAUUCUAUAUUAUUUCGAAC
rnacentral:lncRNA from 1 species